AGGGGUGGUUGCCUGUGACGUCACCGGACGCGCCCGCUUCUCGCUGGAGUGCGCACCGAGCGGCAGUGACUUCGCCGCUGCUGUAGUUCCCCGGCUGGAUGCGGUGACUGGUGCCAGUGCUCAGGCGCCCGCUGCCCUUGACCUCCCGCCCCGCGAGCCCUAACUCAGCGCAGGAGGACCGGCUGCCGCCGCCGCCGCCGCCAGGUAGACCAGGCCUGGCUGGGUUAGGCCAGAAGGGUGUCCCUGGCGCAGGUCUCCCGCGGAGGGCAGAACUAGAACCAGGUUCCCGGCCGUUUCCGACCACACGGAUGGGGCGGACCCAUAGCCUUGGCUGCCCAGUUGCCAGUCCUACCACGGUCGGAGGUAACCUUCCUGGCUCCAGUCACAUGGCCAGAUAAGGUGGUGUGUGUGGGCAUGAAUUAUGUGGACCACUGCAAAGAACAGAACGUGCCCGUGCCCAAGGAGCCCAUCAUCUUCAGCAAGUUUGCCAGCUCCAUCGUGGGGCCCUAUGAUGAGGUGGUCCUCCCACCACAGAGCCAGGUGUUGGUGUCACCCAUGAUCUAUCCUCCUGUAUGGCCAAAUCCCCUGCCCCCAUAGGCCACAGAUGCCAUGGCCCACGUGGCCGGCUUCACUGUGGCUCAUGACGUGAGUGCUCGUGACUGGCUAACAAGAUGCAAUGGGAAACAGUGGCUGCUGGGAAAAACCUUCGACACCUUCUGCCCUCUGGGCCCUGCCUUGGUGACCAAGGACAGUGUAGCAGAUCCACACAACUUAAAGAUCUGCUGUCGAGUGAAUGGGGAAGUGGUCCAGAGCAGCAACACCAACCAGAUGGUAUUCAAGACAGAGGACCUGAUAGCCUGGGUGUCCCAGUUUGUUACCUUUUACCCAGGGGAUGUCAUCCUGACUGGGACCCCCCCACCUCCACCCAGGUGUCGGUGUAUUCAGGAAACCUCCUGUCUUUCUCAAGGUCUCUGAAGGUCCAGACAGCACUGAUGGCGAGCUUUGGGUCCGCACACUCUGGAAAGAAGAGAGAAGUGAAGGCUCUAGGUAGGGAGAACAGAGAGCCACUGGGCACAGGCUUCUCUCCUCUUGUUUAAAGAAGCCCAGGGAGGGAUAGAGCUCUGACUGGACAGAAGACUGUACUCUGCAGCCUGCCUUCCUAGAGUUGGGUUGUCACUGUCCUGCAGGGGGCAGCAGCCACCAGCAAACACCACUGCCUGCAGGAGCCUGGGCUGACUGGUUGGGACUCACCGAAGAUCCCUUCUUCCUGGGCGGUGGCCUGCAGGAACUGGAACAGCUGCUCUGUGUAGCCCAACUCUGCAGAAGAGAGAAGACCUAGACCUGGCACCCAGCACAGACACAGCCUGCCUCGAGGACUGCAAGGGAACAAGGGCCUCACCAGUAUCGGGCAGCUGGCCCUGGCGGAGGAAGGCGGCAGCCUGUGCAAAGGCCUUGAGCAGCGGGCUGAGCAGGCGGCAGAGGAAAAGAAAGAAAUCUGGGCAGUGUGACUGCUGGCUGAGCUGGAGGGGACAGGCCGGGGUGAGUGCAGCUCCCCACCGCCUCCCUACCACCUCCCUCCAGGGGCAGCUUUUUGAAACACACCCUGAAGUACCGGCCGUCAGCCUCUCCGAAGUCAUCACUGUCACUAUCAGUAAAGUCCCCACUCGGUUUCCACA
ensembl:lncRNA novel transcript